rnacentral:rRNA from 1 species
GAUGAACGCUGGCGGCGUGCCUAAUACAUGCAAGUCGAGCGAACGGACGAGAAGCUUGCUUCUCUGAUGUUAGCGGCGGACGGGUGAGUAACACGUGGAUAACCUACCUAUAAGACUGGGAUAACUUCGGGAAACCGGAGCUAAUACCGGAUAAUAUUUUGAACCGCAUGGUUCAAAAGUGAAAGACGGUCUUGCUGUCACUUAUAGAUGGAUCCGCGCUGCAUUAGCUAGUUGGUAAGGUAACGGCUUACCAAGGCAACGAUGCAUAGCCGACCUGAGAGGGUGAUCAGCCACACUGGAACUGAGACACGGUCCAGACUCCUACGGGAGGCAGCAGUAGGGAAUCUUCCGCAAUGGGCGAAAACCUGACGGAGCAACGCCGCGUGAGUGAUGAAGCUCUUCGGAUCGUAAAACUCUGUUAUUAGGGAAGAACAUAUGUGUAAGUAACUGUGCACAUCUUGACGGUACCUACUCAGAAAGCCACGGCUAACUACGUG